AACGAACGCUGGCGGCAUGCCUAACACAUGCAAGUCGAACGAACCCUUCGGGGUUAGUGGCGCACGGGUGCGUAACGCGUGGGAAUCUGCCCUUUGCUUCGGAAUAACUCAGGGAAACUUGUGCUAAUACCGGGUGAUGUCUUCGGACCAAAGAUUUAUCGGCAAGGGAUGAGCCCGCGUAGGAUUAGGUAGUUGGUGGGGUAAAGGCCUACCAAGCCGACGAUCCUUAGCUGGUCUGAGAGGAUGAUCAGCCACACUGGGACUGAGACACGGCCCAGACUCCUACGGGAAGCAGCAGUGGGGAAUAUUGGACAAUGGGCGCAAGCCUGAUCCAGCAAUGCCGCGUGAGUGAUGAAGGCCCUCGGGUCGUAAAGCUCUUUUACCAGGGAUGAUAAUGACAGUACCUGGAGAAUAAGCUCCGGCUAACUCCGUG
rnacentral:rRNA from 1 species